AGCGGAGGCAGCCAGAAAGCACGGAGGAGCUGGCGGACUGAUGACAUUCAGGGGCUGGAGCAUGCCACGGUGAGGGGUCGGGAACCACACGGCACACACAGACGGACACAUGGCUACACUUGGAAGCCUGGACAAUGUGAACGGAGGUCUUUGUACCCAACGUUUCUUUCCUCAUGCAUUUGGGAGUUGGAACCCGUGGUUUUCUGAAGAGUGAAAGGAGGCUGGACAUCGAGUGUUCCAGGCUAGUGGAAGAAGCACUGGACUCAGAGUCAGGGAGACCCAAGUCUGAGUCCUGGAUGGCUCAGCCACUUUUGGUGCCUUGACCUCGGGGGACCCUGCUUGUUGGAAUCAUGUUUUAAAUAACAGGCACCAGGCACCAGGCACCAAGCAAGAGCCAGUGGAUGCCGUGACAGCCAUUUGACUUCUCUGAGGCCUCUUUCUCCCUGGAUUCCCUGGUCAUGGCCCUGUAGAGAUUAUUCAAUAUUCUGAUCUCCUGAUGAGCAGCCCGCUACACCCUCAAUUAGUUUCUGCUACUGCCACUUCCCACUCCAGCCUGGAACAGCUUGAAGGCAAGAACGAUGUCUCAGGCCAGUUGGGGCUCCCAUUACCUGGAUGACGGAGCAUCUUGGGAAUUGAGCCCCUUUGGCCCAGAUCUGGCUCCAGGUACUUCUCAUGAGCACUGCAUCCUGGUCAGGCUGCAAGUGGUGAGUGCCGUGGAGGGGUGUGUGUGUGUGUGUGUGUGUGCGCGCACCUGCAUGUGCACACACAUGCCUAGGACUUGGGCAGAAGUAGGGAAGGGAACCAGUGGGAGAAUGUUCUGGGUCACAGCUGGAAGGGCCCCUACAGAGCAUCCAGCCCACGGUUCCCCAAAGCCGGGGAGGAUGUCAGACAUGGCACUGCAUUGCUCUGAGACAAGGCCGAGUUCACCCCUCCUACAUUUCCUCGGAGCUCUCUGAAGGAGUCUCUGCUUGGUGUCAGACCACUUACUAAUUAUCCUCUUAAACAAGCAGCUGGCUUCAGGCUCUGAGCCUUCGUGGGGCAUGGCAUCGAGUUAGAGUUUAAUAACGUUGCUCUCAUUACAUUAUUAUCUUUUUGUUAGCUUCUCUUUACGACAAAUGAUACUGAUUUUCUAAUCAUGUUAAUAAUAUAAAGUUGCCUUUUGAAAUGAAUUUCAAUAAAAACUGAUUUGAUUGAAAGAAAAUAUCAA